rfam:Schistosoma margrebowiei strain Zambia genome assembly, scaffold: SMRZ_contig0000096
AUCCAGCUGAUGAGUCUCGAAUAGAGCGAAACGCGCGUCCUAGAU